rnacentral:rRNA from 1 species
AGAGUUUGAUCCUGGCUCAGGACGAACGCUGGCGGCGUGCUUAACACAUGCAAGUCGAGCGGUAAGGCCCUUCGGGGUACACGAGCGGCGAACGGGUGAGUAACACGUGAGUAACCUGCCUCUAGCUUUGGGAUAAGCCUGGGAAACUGGGUCUAAUACCGGAUACGACCCGCAUCUGCAUGGGUGGGGGUGGAAAGUUC